AUGUGUACAACUAAUGAAUUUUAUAAGGGUAAAAUUUUUGUCAUCCUUUGUUAUGACCUGCAGUCGCUCUUAAGGCUUAAGGUGAAGAUGGUGGACGAUAGCUAUUGGGGUUGGAGUAUGACGGUCGGGGAGUCACAAAACAAUUGAGAAGAAGAAAAAUUUGGAUUGAACCAGCCCAGCCGAGCCGAUCGAUCAUAAAGCAGGAAGAGGUGACAGAGUUUCUCCUUCAAUCCACCUAUUAAGAAGUUGGCCUUGGAAAUCAGACACGCGAUGGAUUCUUUAUACUUGGUAAUUGAUUGCAACACAGAUCCUUCAAUCUUCCACUCUGUUCAUAUCUCACGAGUGGGAAGACCAGCCGUAUCUGAUGGGUGCUUGCGUUUCAAGUCAUGAUAAAGCAAGACUUUGGUUGCCCUUAAAGAUGAGGUGAUUGUAAUAAUGGAUGAACAAUAUGAUUUGAAAAGGUUAAUGGGUUAACCAUAGUCGGCAAAUGUCAUUGAGGAUGAGCCAUUUGAAACUUCACCUAUAUGUUAUCAGGCGAUUAAAGCUCUCAGAACUCAUUCCAGUUUAAAGAGGCUUGUUUUCAUGUAAUUCUAAGAGUUUAAUGGCAAAUUAUGGUAUGCCAAGUGAUAAAGUUGUGCAGGGAAACUUCGAGAAAAAUAUUUAUUUAAAGUAUUACUUUCAGCUUCAAAGUGGAGAGAGUCGUCAUCUACCGAGCAUGUGGAAUAUGAUCACGCCUUCCAAAGCAUGAGGAUUUCAGUGGGUUCGAGGUUAACUUUGGUGGACUAUCGAGACAAGACUGGAUGCAAUCUGGUCGACUAAAUGCCGCUCCAAGUGCUUCAUUCAUUCUCUACGGGUGCAUUCAAACAAAUAAUGGAUGGUUCUCUCAGGGAUGGGGUAUACGAAUACCCCUCUGUUGAUUAUGUAUUUUUAAGUCUGGCUUGGUAAAUGGUGUGUGUAAAAGUUUAUUAUGAUUCAAGGUAUUCUGUUUUUACGUGAUUUACUAGGGUGCUAUUUUGGUGGUCUUGUAUGAGGCAGAUCCCUUGUGCUUAUAUACGGCCAACACUUUGCUGGGCUGGUAUUUUGUAUGUUCAGUUGUUUAAGGAAGCUCUUUAUUGCUGGUAAAAAAACAAGGGUUAUCUUGGCAAG
rnacentral:lncRNA from 1 species